GAAGGGCCAAAGUGUUCGCCCAACAGGAAGACAUGGAUCCCCAGGGAGAUUGUGCAUAUUCCUUCAGUUAAAGCUCUUUGGGAAAACUGUCCUGUGAACUGAACUUUCUUAAACCCCAUGGAAAGAAUAAAGGUCCUUAUUGUGGUGUUGGUGAGAAGUCAAUGAGUCCACACUCAGACAAGCUGACAAGCUAGGAUCUGAGGUGCAAGUCAGUCAGAGGGCAGGUGACGGUGUCUUCCCGGGAAAGUAUUACAGAAAAGAGGCUGUGGAGUGGACACUGCAGCAGCAAACAAGAUGAGGUCAAGUCUCCCAAAGGACCUGCCAGCUAUCAAGCACAGUGAUAACUUGUCCUUGAACCAGAUUUAAGGUAGACCUACAGUGACCACCAUGUACUUACCAUCUCCU